CCUACGGGUGGCAGCAGUGAGGAAUAUUGGUCAAUGGACGAGAGUCUGAACCAGCCAAGUAGCGUGAAGGAUGACGGCCCUAUGGGUUGUAAACUUCUUUUAUAUGGGACUAAAAUGUUCCACGUGUGGCAGUUUGUAUGUACCAUAUGAAUAAGGAUCGGCUAACUCCGUGCCAGCAGCCGCGGUAAUACGGAGGAGCCGAGCGUUAUCCGGAUUUAUUGGGUUUAAGGGGUGCGUAGGUGGGUUGUUAAGUCAGUGUUGAAAGUUUGCGGCUCAACCGUUAAAGUGCAGUUGAAACUGGCAGUCUUGAGUACAGAUGAGGUGGGCGGAAUGUGUGGUGUAGCGGUGAAAUGCUUAGAUAUCACGCAGAACACCGAUUGCGAAGGCAGCUCACGGAACUUCAACUGACGCUGAGGCUCGAAAGCGUGGGUAUCAAACAGGAUUAGAUACCCGAGUAGUC
rnacentral:rRNA from 1 species